GUUCUUUAAAAUGUUUUUGUUUGCAAAAUACUACUAGGGGACCUUUAUCUAUAUUUCACCUUUUAAAAUGCUCUUCACACACUUUACAGAGACAUAAACAAGAAACUAACUGCUCACAAAAUGAAUAUGUAAUUAAGAAAAAAAAGAAGACGACUAGAAUAGAAAUAAUUGAUCCGAGAAGAAUCUCUAAAUAUGUGUACUGUGUGAAAUUUUUUUUGAAAGUGAGUCUGCAAUUUUUUAUCUCUUCAAACAGAAAACAAACUGUCUACACCCUUUCUAAUGCCUUACGUUCAUGCAGUAAACGCUUGGGAUAUGUAGAUAAGAGUAGUGCACUACAUAUAUUCCUCCACAUUUGCACUACGUACAUCCUUACAUUUGGUUUUAGGAACAUGAUUCUAAAUGAUCAUUCAGCUGCAACUGAGAUGAGCAGGCAUAUGCUUUUAAAAAUUGCACUUGUAUUCAUUUACAUGCUUGUGCACUUGCACCGGAGCUGCACUGUAGAUAUAUGUAAACCAGGUGAUGUCUGCAAAAAUCAAGAAGUGUAUGACAAAACCGUGACAGCAAUCCCUGAAAAAUUAAAAGAUGGAGCCGAUGAAAUAUUCUUUGUAAACAGUCAGAUUCCUGUGAUACCAAAAGGAGUUCUUUCUAAAAACCCUCAAAUAAAAAAAAUCGAAUUUAUUGGUACUUCAACUCACUCUGUAGAGGUUGGAGCCUUUGAGGGUUUGCCUAAUAUCACGACCAUUGAGAUAUCUGGCACAAAUGUGACAACAUUAUCUGUGGGUGUUUUUAAGAAUCUCAACAACCUUCAAAGACUUGUUCUAAAAAGCAACAAAAUCCAUAGCCUUGAAAACGGGUUAUUUGAUGAUUUAAAAAAACUUAAAGAUUUAUAUUUACAUAUGAAUGAGAUCAGCUCUAUUGAGGAGGGGACGUUUGACAAUUUAGAGAAACUCUCACUUCUUCAUCUUGCAAAAAACAACCUUAGUUCUGUAUCGACAUCCCUUUUUUCCAAACUUAAGGGCUUGACCAAUUUCAGGCUUUAUGAGAACCAGCUGACUGCUCUACCUGAUGGGAUUUUUGAUCAUUUGCCUGAUUUGGCAGAGAUAGCUUUGCAAAACAACAAAAUCUCCUUUAUACAAACAAAUUUAUUUCCACACAAACAUAAAUUAACAAAACUCCUUUUGGACAACAAUCUUUUAACAGAACUGCCGCCAGCUCUAUUAGUUGGUUUCUCUUCAUUAAAGACUCUAACUCUGCACAACAAUCAACUCAUCAGUCUUCCCGACGUCCUUUUUGGAGAAAUGCCUAAAAUAACUGAAUUAAAGUUAAGCCAUAACAAUCUCAUUCACUUACCAACUGGAGUUUUCAGUCCACUUAAGAAGCUCAAGAAGUUAGACCUUUCCUCAAACCAGUUUUCAACGAUAUCUGCAGACUUUUUUGAAGGUCUUGAGAAACUGGCUGAUCUGGAUCUUCAAAAUAACAAUAUAAAGUCAUUAAAACAAGAGGACUUUGAAAAACUUCAGUCUCUUUCAACACUCAAACUGGGAAAUAACAAACUACAAAACCUUCCUGGUGAUGUCUUUGAUGCUCUUCCGAAACUCAGUAAACUGUACCUGAACAAGAACCCAUGGCAGUGUGACUGUAACCUGUUGCCAUUCUUUGAAUGGAUGAAGAGCAAUGAGGACAAGAUUAAAUCAAAACCUCCAGAAGUUUGUGAGUCUCCAAAAAAUCUGCUAAAUCAGUCAAUCACCUCUUUAACAGAAGAGCAACUAAUAUGCCCCACAACUUCACCAACUACCACUCCUCUCCUUACAAGUACCUUUCCCAUGACCACACUGCACACCACAACUGUCUCAACAACGACAGCAGAGCCUCCAACAACUACUACUUUACAGACGACAACAACAACUACUCCAACAACAACAACUCAACCAACUACAACACAGACAACCACUCAAGUCAUCACCACAGCACCAACUACUCAUCUCACAACUCUGCUAUUAACCACAACCACACUACCUACCACCACUCCUACAACUACAGCUCCGACAACCACAACAGUCCCAACCACAGUAUCAACAACUACACUACAACCAACAACUGCCCUCCUGACAACUACAUUGAUUCCCACAACACCAACAACGACAGUACAAACAACAACUGCGACAGCUUCAGCGACCACCACUUCUACAACCACGAUACCAUCAACAACUGCCCAUGUGACAACUACAUUGAUUCUCACCACACCAACAACGACAGUACAAACAACAACUGCGACAGCUUCAGCGACCACCACUUCUACAACCACGAUACCAUCAACAACUGCCCAUGUGACAACUACAUUGAUUCCCACCACACCAACAACGACAGUACAAACAACAACUGCGACAGCUUCAGCGACCACCACUUCUACAACCACGAUACCAUCAACAACUGCUCAUGUGACAACUAAAUUGAUUCCCACCACACCAACAACGACAGUACAAACAACAACUGCGACAGCUUCAGCGACCACCACUUCUACAACCACGAUACCAUCAACUGCUCAUGUGACAACUACAUUGAUUCCCACCACAUCAACAUCAACAGUCCAAACAACAAUUGCGACAACUUUAGCGACUACAAUAUUAAUCCCCACCACUAUUACAAGUCAGAAGACAACAGAAACUACAUUACCACCCAGCACGACUACAACAACACCUUUUCUCACCACACAUAGUUUCAUCUGCACCGGCUCUCCUCAGCCAACUCUCUCAAAAUCUACUACCACUUACAAGUACACAUCAUGCAAAGAACUAAUGAUAUAUUAUACUACAAUGCUGCUGGUGGAAAUCUGUUGUACUCUGGUGCUGGCCAAAUUCACUUAUACAUUAUACUGCUCACUGGAGCAAAGGGAGAGACUGCACACCCAGGUCAACUUGACUCACUUCUCCUAUACUAAGUCUAUUGUACUCAGACCAAUUGAAGAUACAGAGACUGUAGCUCUUUGAUCUUUUUUUUUCUUUUCUUUUUUUGAGUAGCACCUGGUGGUGGUUGAGUAGACUGUUCCUUAAAGGAAUGAUUUUCCAAACUGCAUAUAUAAUUGAUGCUUAUGCUUUCAUUUCGUGACAACGUACAGUAGGGUCCACUUGUGUUUUGCUAAUAAAAAUACUUUAUGUUAUAUAAUUACAUAAUUAUUAUAUACAAUAUACAUUAUAUAAUAACAUAUUAUCAGCAUAACAAUUUAAGUGAAGAGUUGAAUUGAAAAAAAAAAAAAGUAUGAGAUAAUUCUUAAAUUAAAUCUGUUCAUUAUAUAAAGUGAUCAUAUAUAUGCACAAGACUUGGAUUAAACAUUUUUUUGCAUUUUCUAAGUUGUGGUUCCCUGGACUCAGUUGAGGAAUAGAAACUCUCAGAUUCCAUUAAAUAUAUGUUAAUGUGUGUUUUGAAGAUUACCCAAAGUCUUAUGAGGGUCAGUAAACAAAGACUGAAUUUUCUUAUUUGGAUGAACUAUCCCGUUACGUGUGUCCAAACUUUUAACUUGCAAUAUACAUAUUUUACAAAGGAGCACAAACAUACAUUUCAAGUUAUUUUGUGUUUGUAUUUUUUACCUAAAAACUCAAAACCAUUGGAAAUGUAUCUAGCAAUAAUUAUGUGAUGUAACAUAUUUACAGUUUUGCUUUUUAUUUAUUUUGGAAAGGGUCAUUUGAAAAGGGUUUCUUGUGAGUUCGGUCACAACUCUUGAACUGCAGGUUGGGGCAUCUGUUGGCUACUAUCAAGCAAUUAUUUGAAAUUAAUUUAUCAAAUGUCAGCAGUCUUGAUUAAUUAUACUUUGAAGAAAAGCUGUGGAGGUGUAGCCUAAGUCUUUGGUCACAUAGUAUUAGAGAGCAAAAUAAUGCUAUUGUGACCAGAUGCUUUUGGGGUGGGUCAUAAAAACAAGAGGCUAAUUCAGAGAGUUAUUUGUCAUAGGCCUCAUUUACACAGAAUGUAAAUAUUUGUCUAGCUUUAUAUUUAUUAAUUGUUUUUUGUUUUUUUUGUUUGUUUGUUUGUUUUUAGUAUGGAAAUAUUUUCCGGGCCGAAUUUUUCAGGAAGCAAAAUGUUCUUCAAAACUGCUAUGAAUGCAUGUCUUUCCCAAUGUCAAGCACUAGGUGUCAGUGUAACCGCAUUUAUUUUGUUUGUCCAAUUAAUUCCGGUACCUCUCGCCUCAGUGAUACGCUCCAGCUCACAUAUAGGCCGUUUCUCAAACGGAAGGCUGCAUCCUCCGGAGGUCGCAUUUGUAGGCUGCGUACGCCAUCAAGCCUGGUUUAUUUCAGUUAACUGAGCAUUACAUUUGCGAGUCAAAAGCAUAUUACAACAAUUUACACUUAACUAAGAUAUGUUAAUGUUAAUGUUAAUAUUCUAAGAUAAGAUCUUCUUUAUGACGUAUGCAGCCUACAAAUGCGACCUCCGGAGGAUGCAGCCUUCCGUUUGAGAAACGGCCAUAGGCAAUAACAACCUGCACACGGUGUCCUUAAAUAAAUUGACCUAUUGACCUAACCAUUGACCUGUGUAGUGUAGUGUAGUGUAGUGUACAUAUUUUACAGUGGAGCACAAAUAGAAAACCCACAAACACGUACUAAACCUCAACCUGCACACAACGAAAAAAAAUAUAUUGUUUAUUUCUGUGUAAGACGUUUUCGAUAUUAGCCUUUAUAGUCUUUAUAUGUCGUCGUCAUCAUCAUUGCGAUGUUUGUAAGACAAAAGAAGACUUAAUGCAAAGAUAAUAGAGAGGUAUGCUAUGCACAUCUGUGGUCAAAGUAGCCUAUAUUCCCAUAAUGUUUUAUCAAACACACCACUAGAUGGCGCUCUGACCUAAUGUCCAUUUGUGUAUGGCGGACUGUAAACGAUUUGUAAAUGUUAGGCCAUUCACCAUUCACCACUUCGGCACCACGACUGCCAUCACAUCUUUUAUUCGUUUCUUUAAUCCAAUUAUUUAAAGCUAAAACCUCCUCAAAUUAUAGGGGAAAAAAUAGUAAAGAAUCUAAAAAAGAAAAUGUCAUAUGUCAUCAUUGUUUACAAAGCAAAUUCAACACCUGCAUGAUUGAACUUCUGAAAUAUAUAAAAAAGUGAUUCUCUGGAUGUGAGACUGGUGAGUACUCAUACCAUUACAACACAACUUGCUUGCAAAUGCACUAUUUAUCAUGACUGAAUGUUUCAUGUUUUAAGCCUGUUAUUUUCUGCCUUGUAUCAGAAAUGUUAGGAACAUUAAUUUUAUAAUAACUCCAUUAAUUUUAGGAACAUUAAUUUCAUAAUAACUCUAUUAAUAAGAGUAUUUAAAAAAUAAAAAGCUGAAGAUAUAUAAAAAGGUAUAAAAAAUAUAUAUAUAGCUAGGAACCCCCAAAUAUAGCUAUAUUAUAGAAAAAUGUUUGAUUAAUAUGGGGUUUUCAUUGAUUAAUUGAACAUGCAUAACAUGCAUAAUGAACAUGCAUAUUUGGUCUUUGUACUGUUCUGUUUGUACUUGAAUUGACUAUUUAACUGGUGACUUGUCUUGAUAUGUUUAAGUGCCUUAAAUACAUUAUUACAAUUAUUUUUGUGGCUUGCCCAUGAUACAUAAAACCAAAAUAAUAUAUAUAUAUGUGUGUGUGUGUGUGUGUGUGUGUGUGUGUGUGUGUGUGUAGAUCUGUACUGUGCUUAAGACAGUUGUCUGUCUUCUGGGAUGGUACUAAAAUAAAAAGUUUGAUAUUUGAGUGUAAUCACAGCCAUGGGUUCUCAGAGACCGAGAGGGACAACGUUACAUUCAGUGACGCUGUUCUGGUUCCAGAGAGACCAUAUAGAAUUGCCAUGGUGAUGUAUGGUGGUAUUUUGCAGCCAUGGUGAUGGCUAUAUAAUGCAUAUAUUUUAUCUAGCCAUGGUGAAAUGAAAUGAAAAGAAAAAAAAAAGCUUUAAAGUCUCAGCUGCAUCAGAGUUUAGUUUUUUUAUGAUGCAAAUCACAUUGACAAAGACGCGUUUCAGAUGCAAAACAUAAAUUGAUUAAUUGAAUUAUUUCUGAGGUUUGGAUUUAAAGGAAAGGAAUGAAGCCCUCAGAAUCUCUCAGGAGGACUUCUAAAUAGUCAGAAAGGAACCUUGUGAUAACUAGGAUUUUAAAGACUUUUUUAUUUGUUUACUUAGAUUUUUGUGUUCUACUUUUUUAAUUUAGGUAAGAUAAGAAUUUAUUUCAAAAGAUCUCUUGAUCAUUUGGUCCAUUGACAUCAAGAACAAUAAUGUCUAUGAUGAUUAUAUUAGCAUACCGACACACAGUAAUAUUCUGUUCAUUAUAAGCACGUGCUGCAUUUAUCUCAUCUUCCACUAUAAAUGUUCAAUCUCUUUAAAGCAGGUUGGAUUCUGAUUGGCUGUUAGUGAUUUUACCUUUUUUUUUUUUUUUUUUUACAGCCGAACAAAAAACGUUCUGAAAGUGAUUCCACUGUGUCAUUGUAGGUCUAGUUGUAGUGUGGCCUUCUUUAUUUCCAUAGAAUUAGAAUGAUUAUUAAAGCUUUAUAGUUACCAUGCUUGGUGUGAACGGGCCUUUAAAAAGAACAUUGAACAACUGAAGAAGAAAAAAACAUUAUUAAUAUGAUAACACAGGCAUGUUGAGUAAAUUAAAUAUAUAACUGAACAGCAAAACAUCAGGACAUUUAAAUGUAGCAUUUGUUUCCCAAGGCCAAAAGAAGGAAACCAAAAAAGAAGUGUAUUUGAAACAGUCUGCCCAAUUAACCAAUUAUCAGGCUUAAUUGCAGUCUCCUGAGGAGAGGUUAAGGAGUAAGAGCAGUGUCUCUCUCAUUCUCCAACACCAUGCCCGAGGCCUAAUCAAGUUAUCAUAUCAACAAAUCUCUCAUCAGGGGCCCAUGUCUGACACCAGCAGAAAGAGAGGCCAGUCGACGACUAAUUUCCAGCAGCAGGGCGCUGGGACUCGCCUGCCAGACAGGAUGAAAAGUACCUGCAGACCCCAGUCUAGCUGGCCUCACCAUCCCACUGGGAGAGCACUCACGCUGGGCACAACAGAGCGCUCUCUCCCUGUGUCCCGACUGGAAGGGGGGUAGUAGCAUCAUAGAGAGCUAGAGGAACGUUAUUUGGCAACGUACACAAAGAACAGGGGCAGACAAUGCAGUGAUCAUGCAGAGUGUGGAGGGGAACUGAGGGACCUCCUGUGGCCACGAGAGGGGCUUUAGGGUCAGAGUUUUUAGGGCUGGAGUGGUGCAUCUCUGAAGAGGUUAAUGUACUUGUUAUGUGGGGUCAGGGUGCAGGCUUCACGGCAGUACAUCACCAGUGACAGCCCCUCAGAGCCAUGACUGAAGCAGAAGGCUCUGAUCUGGGAUGACUGCAGUGGCCAAAUGUUCCUGAUGAUAGAGGCUGUAAGUGACUGUUGACUGACCAGCUACCUUCUAAGGUACAAGUUGUGAUGAAAGCAUCAGUCUAAGGAAAGAAGUGUUUUGAACUAAUCUAAAAUUUGUAUUUGAACAUUUAAAGUGUCAACGAUCUGUCUGUCAGAUAAAACAGGAGACAAAGGCACUUCUACAUGUCACCUAACGACAGUAAAACUAAUUAAUUGAAGUGUUUUCCUUUGUAUGUCUAAAAACCAAGCGCUUUUAUUUCAUUAAAUAAGCGAAUGACGGCUACUGAACGGCUUGUUUUUAUACAUUGAGAGGCUUCUGUCUUUGUCAUCAUUGAGUCUGUUGAUAUGGUGAAUCAUUAGGCCUGGUGCCUUUCCUUUGAUGGUCUGUUUUCCUUUUUUUCAUCUGAUCCAAAAUCUCCAAGGAAAGCGAAAACCCAUUUUCUGUUGCAACCCUUUAUGCCGUCAGUGAAGUGAAGAGUGGCGACAAUAGGAAAUUGGCAGAUGCUGGUCAUGCCACUCAAAGAUCAAUUCAAAAAAGAUGAUUCAUGCCUGUGGUAUCUUUAUAUCAGAAAAGACCAUUGCAUGGAUUACCUGCCUGAGACCAAUGCUGUCAUCCAGAUGACACUAGAUCUGAGGUUGCAGCUAUUGCUAAGUAGAGACGCUGGUCUCCAGACGAGUAGAAGUCUCCCCGUACUGGCUCUCUGCCACCUUGCCCUCAAGCCCGAGGCCUAAUCGAGUUAUCAUAUCAACAAAUCUCUCAUCAGGGGCCCACGUCUGACACCACCAGAAAGAGAGGCCAGUUGACGACUAAUUUCCAGCAGCAGGAUGCUAGAGCUCGCCUGCCAGGCGGGAUGAAAAGUACCUGCAGACCCCAGUCGAGCUGCCCUCACCAUCCCGCUGGGAGAGCACUCACGCUGGGCACCAUGCUGGGGCUGUUAUUCGAUUAGCUGCAGCGCUAAGUGGGGAGCUCCAUUCUACAUUCUGAGAGAGCAGCUAGCCUCCCACAGGGCUGAUGCUCUUCUCAACUAUGAAGGGGCGAACGCGGAGACAAGGCGAAUCAAAGGGAGUGUGCAACUAUAAUCUGAAUAAAAAGGCUGUCUGUGAUUCUGUAAUGAGCGGGUUCUUGACACCGAAGACAGCUAUGGUGAGGCUUUUAUCAAUGUCGGCAAUACAGUAACAUCAAGAUCAAGCCUGCCAUUUGAGAUUUCAGGACUGGACCCUCAAUGCUGCAUCACAAAUUGUACUAUUUUAACUCCGAAGCAAAAGUACAUAAAUAAAGUAUUGAACUGAAGUGUAAAAAUGUAAAAACAUAAACGUAAUAAUUAUACUGACAGGUAAUAAUAAAGCUACAAUCUUAAUAAGCAAAAUGCUCAGUUCUGAAUGACCUCUCAACGUUUUUCUCUCUUACAACAGUGGCGUACAGGUCAGCUUCUCUAAGAAUGAGUGCAUGAAGAGAGGUGGCAAGUGGGGGCCCUCAAGUUGACCUGACAUUCUUCUGCUACCUGCUGUUUCACACAAAGGGAGCCAAUCCCAGAACUCUUCAGAAGAAAGCCAAGCAGAUAAUGAGAGCACUACGGCUCUCGCCUCAAUUCGCCCAAUGGCCACUUUGUGUUCCAUGAAUAAGAUUUAUACUCCAGGAGUCAUUAUUCGCCAGACUAUUUUUCUUGGGCUCACUCUUUUUUUAAGAG